rnacentral:rRNA from 1 species
AACGGAGGGCGCAAGCGUUGGUCGGAAUCACUGGGCGUAAAGCGCGUGUAGGCGGCUUGGCAAGUCGGAUGUGAAAUCCCGAGGCUCAACCUCGGAACUGCACUCGAAACUGCCUGGCUCGAGUCCCGGAGAGGGGGGCGGAAGUCCCGGUGUAGGGGUGAAAUCCGUAGAUAUCGGGAGGAACGCCAGGGGCGAAGGCGGCCACCUGGACGGUGACUGACGAUGAGACGCGAAAGCGUGGGGAGCAAACAGG